GUUUGAAGUGCAGUAAAUGAUGUUCCAUAAAUGAAAUGUCCUGUUAAAUGGAUCUUAUAUAGCGCCAGGAAACAAGGCCAUUUUCCUGGCACUUUAAGGUAAUAAGGCUUUUAACCACCAGCUGCCCAUGUUCUACAGAUAUCCUGGAAAGAGAAGUUCAUACUGGCCCUACACAAACUAUGGGCACAAUCCUGGGCUGAACCAAGCCAAGCAUACUUAUAACCUCAAGACGCCCACAUCGACAGGGCAGCGGUUGAAAGUGUCUCAGUGCCAGCCCACCAGUUCCCGCUACACCACCACCUAACUGCACCACAGUCCGUACAGGGACAUCACCCUAUCCUGAGGAGGCCACAGGUCUGCACAUAAGGCUGCAAUCUAGGGAAGGCUACUGGGACCCUACUCUGGUCACUAGACAUACCUGGAGCAAUAGGAAUGGUGACAUGGAUCUAAGUGGAGACUAGCUGGGAUCCAUGGGACUCACACAUUACCGCUGUGGGGAAUACUGUCAGAUGGCCAUCGGGUGGACUCCUACAGUGGUUUCCAUGGGGCCUAUACCAUGCAUUUCUUUGCAGCAAUACUUACUGUGUUUUGUCACCAUUUAAUACUAUUAAGUACCCAGUGGUUUCUUCACCUAAAUGUCAAGCCUGCUAUACCUAUC